GACGAACGCUGGCGGCGUGCUUAACACAUGCAAGUCGAGCGGUAAGGCCCUUUCGGGGGUACACGAGCGGCGAACGGGUGAGUAACACGUGGGUGACCUGCCCUCAGCUCUGGGAUAAGCCUGGGAAACUGGGUCUAAUACUGGAUAUGACUCCACGGUGCAUGUCGUGGGGUGGAAAGCCUUGUGCGGCUGAGGAUGGGCCCGCGGCCUAUCAGCUUGUUGGGGGGUGAUGGCCUACCAAGGCGACGACGGGUAGCCGGCCUGAGAGGGCGACCGGGCCACACUGGGACUGAGACACGGCCCAGACUCCUACGGGAGGCAGCAGUGGGGAAUCUUGCGCAAUGGGCGAAAGCCUGACGCAGCGACGCCGCGUGAGGGAUGACGG
rnacentral:rRNA from 1 species